AACGCGAAGAACCUUACCUGGUCUUGACAUCCACGGAAGUUUUCAGAGAUGAGAAUGUGCCUUCGGGAACCGUGAGACAGGUGCUGCAUGGCUGUCGUCAGCCCGUGUUGUGAAAUGUUGGGUUAAGUCCCGCAACGAGCGCAACCCUUAUCCUUUGUUGCCAGCGGUCCGGCCGGGAACUCAAAGGAGACUGCCAGUGAUAAACUGGAGGAAGUUGGGGAUGACGUCAAGUCAUCAUGGCCCUUACGACCAGGGCUACACACGUGCUACAAUGGCGCAUACAAAGAGAAGCGACCUCGCGAGAGCAAGCGGACCUCAUAAAGUGCGUCGUAGCCCGGAUUGGAGUCUGCAACUCGACUCCAUGAAGUCGGAAUCGCUAGUAAUCGUGGAUCAGAAUGCCACGGUGAAUACGUUCCCGGGCCUUGUACACACCG
rnacentral:rRNA from 1 species